UACAGAGGGGGCAAGCGUUGUUCGGAAUUACUGGGCGUAAAGGGCGCGUAGGCGGCUGCCUAAGUCAGACGUGAAAUCCCUCGGCUCAACCGGGGAACUGCGUCUGAUACUGGGUGGCUUGAAUCCGGGAGAGGGAUGCGGAAUUCCAGGUGUAGCGGUGAAAUGCGUAGAUAUCUGGAGGAACACCGGUGGCGAAGGCGGCAUCCUGGACCAACACUGACACUGAGGAGCGAAAGCCAGGGGAGCAAACGGG
rnacentral:rRNA from 1 species